ACAUCAGACUCCAGUGCAGUCCUGAAGGACAAGACCCUGGGUUCCCUCCUUGGGCAGGUGCUACCCCCCGCCCCCAUCCAGGAGUGGGGGGACCCUGCCGUUCAGGAGAAUCUGGACCCAGGGACUAGUAGAUUUCCCCCACUAGGUUAAACCCAUGGGGAUCUCUCUUGAGUGUGUCGAUGGUAAUAAGUCACUAUGGACUGCGACGGGAGAGGAAGAGGAGGGGGGUUUCUGAUUAGAAUUGGGGGAGACAGGCUGCGAAGGACUAUGGGGGUGUCGGCAGUUCAUUCUGAGGGCAUUGCAUAAACGGGGAUUCAACAGAUUUAUGGGGUGGCCCCUCCCUCAUAAUCACUCUGCAUCACAUUGGAUUGUCCAAGGUGAGUCCUUGGGAGAGGCAGCGGACUCGAGGGAGAGAAUCCUUGGCCUUGUACGACCCAAGUUUAUUCGCCUUCUGGAGCAGAGCAGGCAGGGUGAGGUCCAGUCGAUUAGGUCUGGGGAGUCAGGAUUCCUGCUUUCAUUCCCAGCUCUGGGAGGGGAGUGAUGUGUCUAGUAGAGCGGAGGGGCCGGGUGUCAGGACUCCUGGGUUUUGUGCCCAGCUCUAGGAGGCCAUAGUGGUACCACAGUCAGCCUGAUCUGGUGCCGGCAGAGAGGCGGGGUAGCAGACUAGAUGGAUGAAUUGGUACCCAGAAAAGGAGCAUGUUGAGCUUUGUUUCUCAGUGUUCCACGUUGCUUGAGGGGGCACGACCUCUCGGUCUCUUGAUAGUGGCGUAUCUUCUUGGGAAAUCACCUGUCACCCUUGUCUAGGCCAGAGGAAAUGUUUAGGACUGACCAACUCCUGUCCCUUUGGGCUGAGUCCUCCCCCUCGCUCUGGGGUGAACUCUCUGGGGAAGGCCCGUUACAAUUCCUCACCGCCGACUGGGAUUUGUUUGUGGCAGGGAUGGAAGUCGUUGGACCCACCCGAUAAUCUGUUCUAACCUGUGUUAAACAGGAGACGCCGAUGAGUGAAUAGGCUACAGCGACUGAACUCCCCUCUGCUUCCUCAAUGAGAGGGUGAAUUUUACCCAGUAGCCUCCACUCUGGGAAUACUGGGAGAUCUUGCACAGUUCCCAGCCCCUCCCAUUCCACACCACUGCAGCAGCUUUGAAAAUGUAUCUCCAUGCUUUCUUUGCCCUCUGCAACUCGCUCUUUAAUAACCCAUCAGGUGCAUCCAUAUCUGUGCUGCUCUGCACCCUAUCUAUUUUUAACAGUAAAUAAUUGCGUGUGUGUCUUUUGGAGAAAAGAAAAAGCGAGGAAAUAACUUCUGGGCAAUGAAGAACUCCAUUAAAGCAAGGAAAAGGCUGGGGCACCCAAAAAAACUGUCACAGCGCAGUUACGGUUGGAAAUUGACUGUCAAAACUGGCCCUGUCUCUUCUCUCUGAGUUGUAUCUGUGGCACAUGCGAGGUUUUCAUUCUCAAGCAAGCUGGUUUCUUCCCUGACUCGUGUAUCGUUUUCAGAUGUCAGCUGUGAGAUUAGAAGAGCCAAUCAUUCAGCCCUGAUUGGCUCAAGAAGUGGCCCUGAGGGGAAUUAAAUAGGACUUUCCACAAGGGGCUGUUUGGAUGAGAACGCAGACCUCAUGUUCCCUGCCGUUGCCGAGUGGUGGCAUAUUGGUCUCGCGUGAUCUCCGUUUUUGGCACUUAACAGUUAAGUCCCCUGAGGAUUGAAAUGCUUUAGUCUAAAGUUUUUGGACUCAAUACAAGGGUAACUGGGUGUGUUGAUGUUGCCCGUGUUUACAGGUCGGAAAUCUCCUUUGCCUUUCCAGGACUAACUGCAUCUCUCGCUCCUUUUCUGAGCUGAGCGCAUCCCCACCGGCCCUCAAGCCCUUCCCUUUCCUGGGGUGGGAUUCCCCUAUUUUCCCACUCUUAGCCCACUUCCCGGGCUACGGCACCCCAAGUAUCAGCUCUGCUUCUCUGGCAGGCCCUAUGGAAGUUGGCCCCCGAGGUUCAGUCUUUUGGGCACCUUGACCUGAAACCAAAGGAUUGUGUGUUGUUAACAGUAGGAACAAAGCACAGCAAGAGAGAAACAGAUUUUAGAACAGCAACCAGCCUACAGGCGAAACUCUCAGUGGUAGGAGCUUAUUUGCGGAUAGUAAACACUACGCCCUGGAUACCACAUGGUGAGCUACUUAAAUUAUCACAGGCCGCUCCAGAUCUGUCCCCCUUUGAGUUUGGGUUCAGCCCUUUGAAUAAAUGCUGACCCAGGCAAAGGUUUUUGCCA
ensembl:lncRNA